ACCCUGGUCCCCCUGAGCAGAGUCUCAUGGCUUGGCUGCCUUGGAACAAGGGGACCAUGAGGUGAGUCUCCUGGGGUGCAUUCAUGCUGGACCAAAAAGGACCUUAAGAAAUGUUUAAAAAUCACACCCCAAGUCAAUAACCCCAUUCGUCUGGAUGCAAAUUCCUGCUUCUGACUCUUUUCUCUCUCUUUCUUUGCCUUCUUUAUAUUAAAAACAAAUCCUCAUCUUCCCCCCGGAGCAAACAGAUUCCUUAGACCCCUGGAAAAGUUAAAAAAAAAAAAAAAAAGAAGAAGAAGAAGAGCUCAUUGAGACUCAUUAUAGGUGUUUCACAAAUUUCCAUCUUUAAAGGAGCCCCGCACCUUUCUGCAGAUCCCCUGCAAAGAGCCACACUGGCAAACCCGCAGGCUUCUCCAAGCCUGGGUCUCGGCCUCACUGGGGGCUCUUGCUGAGACCCUCCUGUCGUCGCGGGAUCCCUCCCGUUCCUGCACCCUGGCUGCUCUUCUGAUCCCCCGCCCGCGAUGACCCAUCCACCGGGUUCCUCACUUGCACUAGACGCUGCGGAGGAGACAAGCACUAUAUAAAUGCUAAACAGACGGGCCUCGCCUGUCCCCGGAUAAAUAGACCGCCAGCUCCCGCUGUCAAUCCUACACCUUUCCUGAACACAGACAGAUCUCCCGAGAAGGGGGGAAAUGUUGGUGUGGCUUCUCCAUUUAAUUCUGCGUUUUACCCUCAAUCUUGACACCAGAAUGUUGUGCUUUUCGUUUUGUUUCUCUCUCUCUCUCUCUGUCUUUUUUUUUUUUUGGUAUUGAUUUCUUUUUCUUGUCUUUCUUUCUUCUUCUUUUUUUUUCUUCCCAGAAAGAUUUUAUGGUUUCUUAUGUUAAUUUCCUGGACUCGUAUGCAGAAAAUGGGAUGCUUUUCUUCUGAUUGCUCUUCCAAAAUAAUAAUGAUAACUAUCAUAUGUAUAGGGCUUUCACGUGCAUGAUCUCAUACAAAUUCAUUAGACAGGAGUCAGAGGAAAAGGAUUCUGGUCUUGAUUCCAUCUCCCACCCCCUGUGUGACCUUGGGCACAUGACCUGACCUCUCUGAGUCCUGCUUGUUUUAUUUGUACAACGGGCACAGGGACAGACCUGUUCUUCCUAGCACAAGGGCUUAUGCGAGGAAUAAAUAGGAUAAUUUAUAUGAAAACUUGAGGUAGGUAUUGAUUUUUAGAUGAGAAAUUUGAGGCACAGAGAACCUAAGUGGUUUGCUCUGAGGGCUAUAGCUUAUAAGCAGCAAAGGCUGUACAUAAACCCGGCUCUUCUGACAACGAGUGAUCUAUCCACAAACCACAACUCUGAGUGAUGGCUGGCACUUGGGCAGAUGGACGUAAAAGCCAAUAUUACAAAACACUCCAAUAGUUAGCAUUUAUGAACACUGACUACGGGCCGGCCACUCUUCCAAGAGCUUUGCUGUAUUAACUCAUUCAGUCCUUAUAAUAACGCUGUAAGUCUAUUAUUGGUGUGUUUAUUUUAUAGAGAUUAAUUUCUCAAAGGUCACAAAGCUGAGUCUGAGCACCGACUGGAAGGCCUGUCCUUAGCCACUAGCCUAUCCUGCCUCCGAGCCCACGCGUUUACCAACUGGACCUUUAAAAGAAGAGGGAGGAGGAGGAGGGACCAGGUUUCAGGAGCUCGGGGCCACUGACCUCUGUAAACACACUGCCAGGUUUAUCUUGGUGGCUUAAUGACCAGGCCAGUGGUUCUCAACCUUGAGCAUUGCAUCAGAACCUCCUGGAGGGCUCCUUCUCUCUCCUGAUUUUCGCUUUCUUGUGCAGGGCUGGGACUUGAGAAUUUGCAUUCCUAACAAGUUCCUAGGUAGUGUGGACGGUGCCAAUCUGGGUACCACGUUCGGAGCAACCCAGCCCUAGAAAGUAGAAAGUAGAAGAUGAGACACCACAGGACAGCCGGAUCCCGGGUCCAGCCGGAUAAGGACUCGCCCUUCUCUUAGUAAAGAAGACUUGGUCUGGACCCAGUCAGCGGGUCUCUAGAAAAAUGUUCCCGGCGGUAGAGGGGUAGGGGCUGUCCUCCCUGGGGGUCGGAGCUCCUCCACCAGCUCCUGCCAGGGCUGGCUGAGGGCUGAGGGCUGAGGGCCUAGGGCAAUGUGUUCUGCAUUAUGGAUGAGCGCGCUCAAAAGCCCCCGCUGCAGAUUAAGUAAACAAACAGCCUCUGCAGCCACAGGAAAGGCUGUGACCAAGCCCCCUAACCCUCCCAGACAGAACCUUUCCUUCAGCUGUUGUUGUUUUGUUCUGCUGCUGCCUUCUCAUCGCCUUGUACUGACAAUAGCCGUAAAUAACCGCAGUGCUGUAGAGAAAUCAUUUUAACAGCAGAGAGUCAAAUAAAUACAUUAGACCUGACAGCUUAA